CCGCAUUAAAGCUCGACGAAACCGAGAAGCCAUAACGACAUCUUGAGUCCAUCCCGGAAGCUGGAAAGACACCUUGGGAGCCAUGAAGACGUUAUGUUUUUAUUAUUUCUCCUAGUUUUAAUGUUCUGUCUUUAUUUCUCCUAGUUUCAAUGCUCUGUCUUUAUUUCUUUGACGAUAUAAGCCAUCCAAUUUUUGGUAGAAGACGAACAGCUUUUGAUGAAUGAAAAGCUUUGCUUGAAGCAAGUAUCAUGAA
rnacentral:lncRNA from 1 species